rnacentral:rRNA from 1 species
ACUCCUACGGGAGGCAGCAGUGGGGAAUAUUGCACAAUGGGCGCAAGCCUGAUGCAGUCAUGCCGCGUGUGUGAAGAAGGCCUUCGGGUUGUAAAGCACUUUCAGUUGUGAGGAAGGUGGUGUCGUUAAUAGCGGCAUCAUUUGACGUUAGCAACAGAAGAAGCACCGGCUAACUCCGUGCCAGCAGCCGCGGUAAUACGGAGGGUGCGAGCGUUAAUCGGAAUUACUGGGCGUAAAGCGCAUGCAGGUGGUUUGUUAAGUCAGAUGUGAAAGCCCGGGGCUCAACCUCGGAACUGCAUUUGAAACUGGCAGACUAGAGUACUGUAGAGGGGGUUAGAAUUUCAGGUGUAGCGGUGAAAUGCGUAGAGAUCUGAAGG